UAAGUUUUAAGUUUUAAGUUUUUAGUUUUAGUUUUCAAUUCCCCGAUAGUCUGUCUUCCAAAAUCCCUAACCCUAUCGUGCUUUCCUCUCUUUUUUUCCCAAUUCCAAAAUCAAGUUGUCUGCCUGUCUACACCAAAUCACCGAUCCACCUCCACCGUCAAGACCUCCACCGAUCCACCUCCGUCCUCCACCCAAUUCCAGAAUCAAGCAUUUAAGGGUUUGUUUAUUCCCGAAUCGCCAACAAAAUCGUAUUUAAGGUAAACCGUUUGUUUAUUCUUUAAUGUUCAAUUGUUCAUAACUUCAUAUGAAUUUUUAUGUUAAUUAUUUUGAUUUUUGGGUAAUAAUGUUGCUAAUUUUAUUCGUUAAUGUCUGUGGAAAGAAAUCUCUCUAGAUAUUAUAUAUGUUAAAAGUUGCGUGAUCCUCAUAAGCGUUUUCAACAAACAUAAUAGCCCCUAUAAGUAAAUACAAAUGCUAAAUGAUACCUGAAUGAAAGAAGUGUAGGAUCUUAUGAGAAUAUCAGAGAACUGAUCGGGUGUAUAGAUUCUGUUAACUAGAGGAUUGAUGUAGUAGUUCUAAAUAUAAUCACUGCUUCCUGCACUCAUAAGAUGUAUGGCACCAGAGAUUAUGCUGUUGGCUCCAUUAGUAGAGAUAUUUGAACCUUGUCUGUUUCAACUGGAUUCUUCUCAUUUUCUUCAAUGGAAUCCAAACCCAAAUCUUCAUUUCUAUUUGAAUAUGUUUUUGCAGUCCUUUUAUGAACUUGAGAUCUUUGCUUCCUCAUAAGAAUUGGUUUUUCUCAUUUCCAUCAGAUCUUCCUUUCUUAACGGAACCGGACUCUUCUUCUUAAUCCCAUUAUCAACAACAGCCAAGCUCAAAUCUUUACAAUGUUCCAUGGAUCUUCCUUUAGCUACUACCUUAUUUGGGUUCUUCUUGAAGCCAUCAAAGCUUUCAUUUUUCCAAGUCUUUCUCUUGCUACCACCGACACUUUGUCAUUUCUACAAUCUUUUAUCACCAUCACUAUUGAUGUUUUCUUGUUCUUCAUCUUCAUCUUCUCCAUUGAAAACCUUGAUUCCACCUCUAAAUUCAUCGCUCUUCAUUCUAGUUUCCCAUACCGGCCCAGCUGCAACAACAUUGCUUUUAACACCUAGUCUUCUGUAACUCAAAUCCAUCCUUUUUCUUUCCAGUUUAUUACCUUUUCUGCUUAUUUCAUAAUUUAAGCCAUAAUCUUGAUUUGGAAUUUCAGUUGAGUUAGCAUGUGUUGGCAAUACACAUGUUCUAAUUUAUGCAGUUUGAAUUUCAUUCAAGGUAAAGAAGUUUGUCUAUGUGUUCUUAGCAGAUUUUAAUUUACUAUAUUUUCGUUGUAUUUUGCUUAAUUUAUGCGUUUGAAUUUUUUAAGAAAUCAUUAACAAUGGAUCCCUUCAAUUGCUUUUUAAGAUACUUUCUUUCUAAAUGUUUAAAAUUUAAUUUAGCUUACAAUUUAUAUUUUGUUAUAAAAUUAAAUAUGUUGAUGGAUUAAUGUAUGAAUAUUAUGGUUUGUUGUUUAUUGCUAUAAAAUUAAGUAUGUUUAAAUAUUUUGUUAUAAAAUUUAGGUGACAGGAUAGAAUUGGAAGUGAUAAAAUUAGACUUAUAGCAAUGAUGGCUAGGGAGUUGGCAUUAAUGGCCGAGGUUGAGAGUUGAGAAUAAUGAACUACCUAUGGGAGAUUUGAGAGUAUUGUUAGUUUGUUACUGAUAUUACAACGGUUGUAAUCAGGUUGUAAAUUUGGGCGGAAAAGAACUAGUCAAGGCCUAUACUCAUAGCUCUGAGUUUCGGGCAAAGUAGUUAGAUGUGAUAAAUGCAUGCUUCUCUCAAGACUAAUACAUACUUAUACCAAUUUAAUUCAAUUCAUAAUGUUUUGAUUGAUACAAAAUGUUAGAUUUUACUAACAAUUAAUAAUUUGAUAAUUUUACUAACAAUUAAUACAAUUAACAAUUAAUAAUUUUACUAACAAAAUGUCAGAUUUUACAAAAUGUUUUGAUUGGUAGUAACAAUUAAUAAUUUGAUAUAAUUUGAUAAUUUUACUAACAAUUAGUACAAUUAACAAUUAAUAAUUUUACUAACAAAAUGUUAGAUUUUACAAAAUGUUUUGAGUGGUAGUAACAAUUAAUAAUUUGAUAUAAUUUGAUAAUUUUACUAACAAUUAAUACAAUUAACAAGUAAUAAUUUUACUAACAAAAUGUUAGAUUUUACAAAAUGUUUUGACUGGUGUAACAAUUAAUAAUUUGAUAUAAUUUGAUAAUUUUACUAACAAUUAAUACAAUUAACAAUUAAUAAUUUUACUAACAAAAUGUUAGAUUUUACAAAAUAUUUUGACUGGUAGUAACAAUUAAUAAUUUGAUAUAAUUUGAUAAUUUUAUUAACAAUUAAUACAAUUAACAAUUAAUAAUUUUACUAACAAAAUGUUAAAUUUUACAAAAUGUUUUGACUGGUACAAAAAAAUAUAAUUUGAUAUAAUUUUAAUAACAAUUAAUUUUAAUAACAAUUUUUUUUAAUUUUAAUAAAAAUAUAAUUUUAAUUUUAAUCAAAAAACGGGUCGGGCUCGAGUUCCAUAUUUUUUUCCCCGGUCCAGGCCUGGAAAAAAUCUCAGGCCCAUGGACACCUCUAAUUCUCACCCUCCUUACUUUUUAAAUUUACAAAAAAUACUCUAUUUUUUUGCAGUACCACCCUCACUCUCUGGCCUAUUUACACUCGUAACCCUUUUAUUUUUUUAAACAUUCGAUUUAAUCCGAAAUUUAAAAAUUAAAAGAAAAUUAAUUGUUACAUCAGUCCUCUGUCUUCCACAUUUUUUAUCUUUUAGUUCUAAAAUCAAGUUAUGUCAUUUUGCUUCCAUCUUUAAUAAAUAUUUUACACUUAUAUCUUCCAUUUCACUUGCAUUUAUACAUUAUAUAUUUAAUGUUAAUUAUGCACUUUAUUUUAAUGUUUUAUAUUUAUUCACACUUGUAUAAUUUUUAUUUAUUCUUAUUUUAUUUUUAUUUAUUUUCAUGUCUAUUUAUAUUUAUUUAUUUUUACGCAUUCCCCUUACAUAUAUUUUAAUAUUAUUUAUUUAUGUUACUUUGAUUCUUUUAUUGUAUUAUGAAUAAGGUGUAUUAUUGUUAUUAUUAUUAUCAUCAUGUUAAGGUCUUAUUUAUUUCAUUUAUUUAAUUUUUUUAUUAUUAUCAUUUUGAAAGAGUUUUAACUUUUCAUUAACUUUAGCCAAUUUAAUUAAUUUUCCUAUUUUAUUACUAUUCGUUUUAAAAGAGAGAACUUUAGGUCAUUUUUCCAUCCUAUUAUUGUUAACAUGAAGUUAGUUAAGUAGGUGUUAUAUUUUAAUGAAACCAUAAGGUUUUUACAUUUGGAUUUAGGUUAGUCCUUAAGAUCUUACCUACCAUUUUACCUUAGAAAAAUUAUAAAUAAUAUGUAAGAUAUUUUUUUAGGUUUUUAAAUUAGUUUUAAAUAUCGUAUAGGAUUAGAAUCUUAAGUUAAUAUGUAAAUAUUUUUAUGACUUUAUUCAAGAUUAAAACUAAAGAUUUUUGUAGGUGAAUUGUAAAUCAUGAGUAGGUCUUUUUAAAUAUUUUAUUUUAGAAACUUUUUUAAGAAAGCUAAUAAAUGUUAUUUAAGAUUUAUUAUUUUAGGUUUUUGACGAAUUUAAAUCUUAGAUCAAGAACUUUAAAGUAAGAUAAAUCAUAAACCCGACAUAGGAUACUUUCGUAAGAUCUUGAUAGGUUCAGCGUUAUUAAUUAAAUCUUUUAAAAAUAAUAAUAAUAAUAAAAGAUCGAAUAAGUUGUAGAUGUAUUUUAAUAUUUUUCUUAAUUCAUUGGUAAUUUUUAGGUUUUUUUUAGAAUUCUAAAAUAGAAUUAAUUUUAGGAAUUGAAGGCAUUUUACUAGAAUUAUUUAGGUAUCCUUUAGGGCUCCUGUUAAAAGUAAAAAUCACUAAUUUAAGUUUCAAAUUAGAUAAGUCUGGUGAACACAUCUUAAUCGAACUACAAGUAAACCGGAGGCGCUUCCUUUAGAGUUUUUAUUUAAGAUUUCCAUAAGAUUUUAACUUAGAUUAAGAAAUUAAUAUGCUUAAAUAAAAAAUCUAGCUCUUAAGAUCCCGUAGGACUAUCCCAGAUAGGCGUUGCUAUAACCUUCCCCACACGUAACCGUACUCCCAAACCCAGUAUUUGGUAAUGAGAUCGAGUCUAGAUUGUUAGGAUUUUUCCGUAAUAUUAAUUCUAGAUUUUUAGACGAUAGGUGGCUAACCAACCUAGCCCUAAUUGGUUAGUGGCGACUCUACGUAAUUUAGUCCCUUCGUGUCUAGCUUUGCUUACUAGGUCUCCGUACUCUUAUGUAGGCAACGUUAUGACAAUAAAAAUUAAAUUAAAUUUAAUAUUAAAAUAAUCACUUUAUUAUUAAAUUAAUAGAAUACUAUCAAGAUAAGUAUUUAAUUUAAUAUUAAAUUUAUUAAAAUAAUAUUAUUUUUGGAAUAGUUAAUCUGAAAUCAAAUUAUUUGGUAGAGUCCCAGUAGAAGUGUGAUUCCUCCAUUGCUCAAUCACUGAAGAACCACCCGCCAACCAUCAGAAUGUGAUCGUCGUCGUCGUCGACACUGUCGUGUCUGAUGGUGCCAUCGCAGGUGCGACACCCUCACGACACCCCAAGCUGGUUCUGUUCGAGCUAGUGAUGGCCCGGCCGGUUCGAUCUUGCCACCGAUUGGACCGUCAGCUCGAUUUCACAUACUAGGCUUGAUUCGACCAGUUUUUGGGUCUCAGCCUCAAUUUUGGAUUCUCGAGCCCAAUUUUCAAAUUUAGUUACCUAUUUGAUUAGUUUUCUGACUUGAAAAUUAAUUUCCAAAAACAUCGUGUUAAUUUUAAUUUAUUUGAUUAAUUUAAUUUUACUUGAUCAAAAUUAAUUUUCACAAAAAUCACUUAGAUUUUUCAAGAUAAUUCUUUAACUAAAUUCUGUAGUUGAACAAUUCUCACAAUCGCCUCAUUUAAUUUAACAUUGAAUAAAUCGACUCAAUUAAAUUAAUUCCAAAGUCGUAGUGUAACAGCCCAAUUUUCAGUAGUGUCAGAACAGUGAUUUGAGAUCACUAAAUUCGAUGAAAAAGUUAGAAAAUUUUAUUAAUUAAUAAUUAUAAGUUAAGCGUGAUUUUAGAAAUAUUUUUGAAUUACUGAAUUUUGUGAUUUAAAAGAAAUUAUUAGGUAAAUCGGGUCAAAAACGAGGUAUCGAGACCUUGAUAUUAUAAAUUGAGCCGUAAAUAUAUAAAAAUAUUUACGGAGUGCCAUUAAGGUAGUAUUAAAGUUUCGUUGAGAAAUGUUAACGUUUAGGUGGAUAAUUGAUUAAAAAGGAUAAAAUUGAAAAAAAAUUCCCGAGAUCUAUUUCAGUAAAUUGGACUCGUAAAUAUUUAUCAUAAAUAUUACGAAGUUAUUUGUGUAGUUAAUCAAGUUUUAAUUAAGUGAAUUUGUCUAAAUUAAGGUUAAUUAUGAAAAAGGAUUAUAUUGUAAUAGAGAUAAAAGUUUAAUUAAAGAUUAAAGAAAAGUUAAAAGGACCAAAUAGACAAUUAUGCCUUUUUCUAAAGUUGAGACCGCAUAACUAAAGAAAUAUCUGAGAUAUUUUAGUUAAUAUAUAUUAUAUUUAUUUACUUAAUAAAUAAGUAUUAUAUUAAUUAUAUAAUAAUAAUAUUAUUAUUAUUAUUAUUAUUGUUAUUGUUAUUAUUAUUAUUAUAUAUAACAAAUAGAAAAGAAGGAAAGAAACAGAAUUGAAAAACGCAACAGAGAAGGAGAAAGGAAAGAAAGAAAAGGGAAUUUUGGGGUUUUGAAGUUCAAAGCUCAAUUGGUAAGUCAAUUUAAUCUCAUUUCUUGUAAUUUUUGAGUUUUUGGAGUUCUAGAACAAAAUAUGUCAUGAUUUAUGUUGAAAUUUUGAAAGAUAGUUGAUUUUUAGACAUGAGUUAUGUUGAAUUAAUUGAUGAAAUAGGGGUUAAAUUGAUUGAAUUUCAAGUUAGAAGUUAGUAAAAGGUUGAUUUGUAAAAUAAAACAUAAUUUUUGAAUUAAUAGGGACUAAAUUGAGAGAAUUUCAAAAUUAGGGAUUUAUGGUGAAAUUAGAGAUUUAAAUUAGUUUAAAGUGGGAAUGGAAUGAAAAUAUGAAAUUAGUUUUGAGAAUAAAAGUUAGUCUCGGUUUAGGGACUAAAUUGAAAUUUAGGCAAAUAUGAAGUAAAAAUUGAAAUAUUUAAUGUGAGAUUGAAUUGUGUUGUAUUAAUGAUUUUUAAUUGUUUUAAUUUCGUAGCUAACGUUGUACCGGAAUUCUCGACUAAAAAGGGAAAAAAAAUAUAGUCGACGAGGAAUAGCUCGGAAUUCUUGGUUUGUAUUUCUAUUAUCCGAAUCUAAUUAUUAAUUUUUGUAUUUUGAUUAAAUGUUAUAGUAAGUGAUUGAGGUGAGAAUUAUUGUGUUUUACAAUUGAAAUGGAUUGUCUUGAUAUGUGAUGAAAUUAUAUUGGUUGAAUUAAAGUGGAAUAUAUAUUAUGAAUAUAUAUGUGUAAAUGUGAAAUUGUGCAAAUAUGAUAAUUGAAUUAUUUUUUAUAUGUAUAAAAUUCAAUUUUAAUACCCAAAAAGAUGGAAUUUAGAACUACUGAGAUAUUAGUGGCAUGCCAUUAAGGAACUCUAGUGCGCUCUCUGAUAUUUAGCACGUUAGUGCUCUCUGUUUAGCACAUCUGUGCUCUCUACAUAGCACUUCAGUGCUCUCUGUUCAUUAGUGCAUAAUAAUGCACCUCUGUAUAUGUUCCGUAUAUUCGGUGUGUUCUAUAAAAUCUACUUUGGGCUAAGAAUAAGAAUAUGAGAUAGUGAAUUGAAAAUAGAAUGUGAAAAACGAUAGUGAAUUGAAAACAUAAUAUGAAAUAUGUUAUAAAUACAUGGAAUACACGAGUUAUAUACUCAUGAAUUGAAUGUGGAAAGCUAUUAUAUAUAGCAAAGUGAUGAUAAUUGAGUAUCGUAUGGUUUUAAAUGUUCAAUUGUGCUUGACAUUUUAUUAUACAUAUUUUAUUGUUUUAUUUUUAAAUAUUCGAAUUAUAGAAAUACCACUGAGUUUUUACUCAGCGUACGGUUUUGUUUUCCGUGCGCAGAUUAAGUACUUAAGUUUGAUCGCUGAUUCAGCAUCCAACAACGAUCCCGAACUCAAAUAUGGUGAUGUUUAUUUCUUUGUGUCGGCAUGUACCUAGAGUGUCUAAAUAUUAGUUAUUUUAUGGUUUGAUUGUAAAUGAAGUUAUAAGAUCUAUUUUGGAGAGUUUAUAAUUUGGAUUAAAAUGAUGCUUUGAUGACUUGUUUUGAUGAUAUAAAAUGUUUGAGAUUUCUUUCUGUUUGAUCUGUAAUCUCCAGUAAUGCUCCGUAACCUGGUUCCAGCGAGGGAUACGGGUUGGGGGUGUUACACAUAGAAUUUUAUUUUGAUUCAAAUGCAAUUCGAUCGAGCUUUUGUUGAGCUAGUAGAGGGACCAAUUAGACAUAUACAAUUAGAC
rnacentral:lncRNA from 1 species